CCUUGCAACGGCACGCUGAUGGGCCGGGGUGGCAACACCUGCAAGGUCAUCCACAUCAGAUCGUGAUUCUGUGCGCCGCGCGCAAAAUCAUUAAAUCCAGCGGAUCGCCAGUUCAGAAGCAUGUCCAUCUGCGUCUGGGCGGUUAAAACCCAAUGAUGGCACUAAGCAUGUAGAGCUUGCGAUGGAGAAUUUGCGGACGGGGGUUCAAUUCCCCCCGGCUCCACCA
rnacentral:tmRNA from 1 species